rnacentral:rRNA from 1 species
UACGUAGGGGGGCAAGCGUUGUCCGGAUUUAUUGGGCGUAAAGAGCGUGUAGGCGGCCUGAAAGGUCAGCUGUGAAAACUCGAGGCUCAACCUCGAGACGUCGGUUGAAACCAUCUGGCUAGAGUCCGGAAGAGGAGUGUGGAAUUCCCGGUGUAGCGGUGAAAUGCGCAGAUAUCAGGAGGAACACCCGGUGGCGAAGGCGGGGUCUCUGGGCCGAUACUGACGCUGGAGGAGCGAAAGCGUCGGGGAGCGAACAGG